rnacentral:rRNA from 1 species
GGUUCCUGUCCAACGUUAAUCGGGGCAGGGUGAGUCGACCCCUAAGGCGAGGCCGAAAGGCGUAGUCGAUGGGAAACAGGUUAAUAUUCCUGUACUUGGUGUUACUGCGAAGGGGGGACGGAGAAGGCUAUGUUGGCCGGGCGACGGUUGUCCCGGUUUAAGCGUGUAGGCUGGUUUUCCAGGCAAAUCCGGAAAAUCAAGGCUGAGGCGUGAUGACGAGGCACUACGGUGCUGAAGCAACAAAUGCCCUGCUUCCAGGAAAAGCCUCUAAGCAUCAGGUAACAUCAAAUCGUACCCCAAACCGACACAGGUGGUCAGGUAGAGAAUACCAAGGCGCUUGAGAGAACUCGGGUGAAGGAACUAGGCAAAAUGGUGCCGUAACUUCGGGAGAAGGCACGCUGAUAUGUAGGUGAAGUCCCUCGCGGAUGGAGCUGAAAUCAGUCGAAGAUACCAGCUGGCUGCAACUGUUUAUUAAAAACACAGCACUGUGCAAACACGAAAGUGGACGUAUACGGUGUGACGCCUGCCCGGUGC